rnacentral:rRNA from 1 species
ACGCACGCUGGCGGCGUGCUUAACCCAUGCAAGUCGAACGGAAAGGCCCUGCUUUUGUGGGGUGCUCGAGUGGCGAACGGGUGAGUAACACGUGAGUAACCUGCCCUUGACUUUGGGAUAACUUCAGGAAACUGGGGCUAAUACCGGAUAGGAGCUCCUGCUGCAUGGUGGGGGUUGGAAAGUUUCGGCGGUUGGGGAUGGACUCGCGGCUUAUCAGCUUGUUGGUGGGGUAGUGGCUUACCAAGGCUUUGACGGGUAGCCGGCCUGAGAGGGUGACCGGCCACAGUGGGACUGAGAUACGGCCCAGACUCCUACGGGAGGCAGCAGUGGGGAAUAUUGCACAAUGGGCGGAAGCCUGAUGCAGCAACGCCGCGUGCGGGAUGACGGCCUUCGGGUUGUAAACCGCUUUCGCCUGUGACGAAGCGUGAGUGACGGUAAUGGGUAAAGAAGCACCGGCUAACUACGUG